AACCUCCGCAAUGUGAGAAAUCGCGACGGGGGGAUCCCAAGUGCCAUUCUUAACGGGAUGGCUUUUCAUUAGUGUAAAGAGCUUUUGGAAUAAGAGCUGGGCAAGACCGGUGCCAGCCGCCGCGGUAACACCGGCAGCUCUAGUGGUAACAAUUUUUAUUGGGCCUAAAGCGUCCGUAGCCGGUUUAAUAAGUCUCUGGUGAAAUCCUGCAGCUUAACUGUGGGAAUUGCUGGAGAUACUAUUAGACUUGAGACCGGGAGAGGUUAGAGGUACUCCCAGGGUAGAGGUGAAAUUCUGUAAUCCUGGGAGGACCGCCUGUUGCGAAGGCGUCUAACUGGAACGGUUCUGACGGUGAGGGACGAAAGUUAGGGGCGCGAACCGGAUUAGAUACCCGGGUAGUCCUAACUGUAAACGAUGCGGACUUGGUGUUGGGUGGCUUUGAGCUGUCCCAGUGCCGAAGGGAAGCUGUUAAGUCCGCCGCCUGGGAAGUACGGUCGCAAGACUGAAGCUUAAAGGAAUU
rnacentral:rRNA from 1 species